CCAGCCUGUCCAAGGUGAUUUCUUGACUUACAUAUCUGGCACUAGAGUGUUCCUUUACUCUCGACCUGUCCAGCAAAGCAGCCUGGCCUCCUUUUAUAACAGCUCUGGGGUCCAAAGUAAGGAAGGGGAUAAUGUCAGCUCCGGUUCAAUAGAGUGGAAGGGAUAGAUGCCAGCUCUCAAUGGAGCCCACAUUUUGCUCAGAUGUGACUUCAGGAGAAAAGGAUUUCUUCAGCCCCAAGAGUAGGCUCCACAACCAGCAUGGAGCCCAAUGUGGGUUUUGAACUCACGACCCUGAGAUGAAGACCUGAGCUGCAAUCAAGAGUCAGACACGUAAACGACUGAGCCACCCACCUGCCCCAGGAAGUUAAUUCUUGGGUGCCUUUAACAAACCCCAAUUUGAGCAACUGAAAAGCAUCAGUGGUAAUAACCUUUUUUGUUUCCUACUGAUUAGGUUGAUUCUUUCACUGAAAAAGAAAUUUAUCUAUUUGGCAUAUAUUUAAAUUACUCUGUUCCUUUCAUCUGUUUUCAUGUUUGUGAAACUUAAUAUAGCUUAAUAAAUAUCGUCAGGAAAGUCAGGACCCUCCUUUAAAAAACUUCCUGACUAUACUCACCCAUUAAUUAUUUCAUUUAUUUGAAGAAAACUUCACAAUUGUGAUUUAAGUACCUAUUGAAAAUAUUUUGAUUAUGUUUUGUAACACCUGAAAUAUUAAGUGGAGUAAUUGUGUUUUACUACUGGUAGAUAAUGAAUUCACAAAGAGUAUCAGAAGUUAGACUGAGUAUAUGGUCAUCAGGAAAUAUUUAUUGUGUGGAAAUGUUGAAAUAAAUUAGGCCCACAGAAAUUAAAUAAAGCUUAUAUAGGUGACCAU